GAAGGAUUGAAGCAUUUUAUAUCUGUUGCAUCAAGAGAAACCCAGGCCUCCUGUAAAAUGGAUCUAACUCCACUGCCUCCUAUUUCCCAUUACAAUCCAUGAAGGAUUUAUUAUUCCUGCUACUUACUGAGUGACGUCGGAUAAACCCUGGUGUCUAACACAUUCUACUUUCAUCUCUACCCUCAUCAAGAGGGUGACAUUCUUCUCUCAAGGUUAUGGGGAUACAGGAGGUGAGAGAAGAGUUUAUUCCUGAAUCAUGGAAAUGAACACACUGAAAUCAGAUCUUCCUUCCCGGUGUGGAUUUGUUCCCAGGUGUCAGCCUGCAGAGUUGGGUCACCAACCAGUUGCAAUGCUGCACAGAACGGAACUUCUUUGCUACUCUGAGCCUAGAGCGUCUGAAAAGGGGAAGGAGAAAACUUUCUUGGCCUGGAGAAACCUAGCAGCUAAUUUGAUAGAUGAGGACACCUAGGCUCGGAGAGUUGGGAACUAGUCAAAGUCUCAAGUUAAUCAGUCACGGCUGGGAACUAACCCUCCACCUGAAGCUCUUUCCUAAAAGUGGAUCGCUUGGAUUCAGGCCUAGCUUUGUUACAAGCAAGGGCGGGAGCAUAUCGUUUCACUUCUCUGGGCCUCAGUUUCCCCUUUUGUUAAGGUUUUGAUGGUUACAUACAGUAAAACCACGGUGGCAAGAGAAGCAAGAGACAGAAAUGCAAGGAAAUGGGAAGGGAUUGUAUUUCUUCUGGGCUGGAAUAUUCAAUUGCUAGGGAGAAGAUUCUGUCGGGUUCUUGUCUAAGAACAGAGGAGGUCAGAGCCUGGAGACUGGGUCUGGGAUUCUGUACUGAGGAGACACAGGUUUCCAGAGAAGCAGGUUCACCUUAUGAACAUUGAG